rnacentral:rRNA from 1 species
GGGGGGGGGGGGGGGGGGGGCGGGGGGGGGGGGGGGGGGGGGGGGGGGGGGGGGCGGGCGCCGGUGGGGUUAGGGGCGGGCGGGGGGGUAACGCGUGGGGCCCCUGCCUCUAAGGCUGGGAUGACUUCGGGCGACCGGAGCUCAUCCCGUAUCAGAUAUGUAACCGCCUGGUUCGAGCGUUCCCGACGGUUCUGCUGUCCCUGAUCGAUGGCUCCGCGCCGCAUUAGCCCGUUGGUCAGGUAACGGCGUACCCAGGCAACGCUGCGUAGCCGCCCUGAGAGGGUGAUCGGCCACACUGGAAGUGAGACACGGUCCAGACUCCUACGUGAGGCAGCAGUAGUGAAUCUUCCGCAAUGGGCGAAAGCCUGACGGAGCAACGCCGCGUGAGUGAUGAAGGUCUUCGGAUCGUAAAACUCUGUUAUUAGGGAAGAACAAAUGUGUAAGUAACUAUGCACGUCUUGACGGUACCUAAUCAGAAAGCCACGGCUAACUACGUG